CUCAGUGGAUCUUUACGAGCGCUCUUUCAUAAAUUGCUGAGUAAGCUUUUUUUCCAACAUAAAACGCAACGCACUUACGCUCUUUGUAUUCAGCCACUUGUAAGCGUGCUCAGUUUAAACAAUUUCCAGUUGUCAAAACACGAAAAGCCAAACAUCAGUCGCCGGAACAACUCUUUCUUAUACAUUUACAUUCGGGAUCUCAAAUAAAAGGACAUAAGUUCAAAAUAUAAUAUUGAACCUCAAACACAGCUGGAAUAAACUGUUACAAUAACAUUGGUAUUCUGCUGACGCCCAUAAAUAUUUCAAAAAAGAAAAAACUUAAUAAAAAUAAAAAUAAAACAAAUCAAUGAUUGAACUUAAAAAUUAAUUAAAGUAAACUUGAAAAAAGCAAAGUGCAAUAAUUAUAUAACUCAUGUGUGUGGAGUGAAACCCGACGUUGUCAACAAAAAUACAAGCGCAUCGAAUUCGCGAAUUAUUAAACGAAUUUCAAAGCUGUCACAUAUUAAAGCACUUAAGUGAGUCGCUCCGCGCCGAAUCCAAGAGGAGGCUUCACAAAAGCUUACGAAAAAUCCAAAAAUUGCUGCAUAUUAAAAAUAACAGCCAAGCAUACAAAUAAACACAUUUAUUGGAUAUGUGAUUUGUGUGCUCUACAGUUGCAAUUGCAUAUAUUCGUACGUUGGUUUGUUUGUACAUGCGAGGCACAUACACGGCGCAGGCAAAAAAUUAGCAAAUCGCCAGGCCAACACCGUUAACACGAACAGUUUUCGCACAUGCGCGCAGCCAUAAACAAAUAAUAGCCGAAAACGCAAAGACGAAGAGCUCACCGCAUUUUGGCCCAGCGUGAGCUGCAAUCAAUUGUCACUUUGGUAAAGCACCGACGAUGGUGAUGGUGGCGUUUGGCCGCGCUUUCAAUUGCGUCAUGGAAGGUUUACAAAUUCUUUUAGGUCAUUUAUUUGAUAUUCUCAAGAUUUACCUCAAGUUCGGCCUUAUUACUUUGGUGUUUUACUUUGUGGCCGAAUGGUAUAUACUGCAUUAUGUCGAUUUCAAUACGUUCCAGGAACCGCAGCCCCUGAUGAAACCGGCCAGUAAUAGUACUGCUAGUAAAGUGUAUCGUUUUGUUCUGGAUUUUUUUCUAGGCUAGCCAUAGAUAGAUGUUGAUUUAGUUUAGUUAUAUGAAAUUAGUAUUAUUUUAAUUUUUAUUUAAUUUGUAUGUUUAAUGUUAUAGUUUUGAAAAUGUUCAUGUCGAAAAUAAAAUCAAAACGGAAACGUAUAUACGUUUAACUACUGCGGAAGACUUAGACUUUUUAAUAUUAAUGAAAAACAAAGGACAAGGUCUUUGAUUACGUCACCUUAGUUUUGAAUAAAAUAUGAUAAUCAGUUUACUUAAGCACUAUAAAUAAGUAUUAGAUGAUAUUAAAAAUGUAAAACUUAUGAAAGUAAAUAAAAAUGUAUUUUCGUAUAAAAUUUAACUUACUGUUUAAUGCAAAGCGCUUUUAAAUUAUUACAA